rnacentral:lncRNA from 1 species
GGUGUCAGUUUUGCUUCUGUGGUUUGUUCUGCUUUUCGUUUCCCUGAAGGAGACCCCUGGGCUGUGUUGAGCAUUCUGCCUCCAUUGUGGGUGCAAAGGUUGCCUAUCUGGGUAGGAGCCUGGGCAGCAAGAGUGGACACCCCCCGACUGAUCAAAGCACCUGGCCCCGACGGUGACCUCUGUGGCAGACCCUGGGUGCGGGAGCAUAAAGAUCAACAUGUGGUCGUCAGUUACCAUCUUUGGGAAGUUUGUUUAUUUUGUUUGGAACAUUCAAAGUUAAUAAAAGAAGUACAUUUAAAGUAAAAAGAACAAUUGUUGUCAAAAAAAAAUGGGGGGGGGAUUAACAUGAAACGUUGUGUUGAUGAAUCAUUCUUCUGGCGAUCAGGAUGAUUGAAGUGCGGCCAUGGAUUCUGGAGACAUUUCUGUGGACACUUGAAUCAUCAUAUUUAAUACAUCCGUGAAACACUGAGAGCCGUGUCUUGAUAUGCCCAUGUUGACAGUCAAUCUGUAGCUACAUGUGGGUGUCAGGUCUUUCCUUCUUGUUUUCUCUUUGUCCCUUAG